GUCCCUGUAGCGCAAUGGAUUGCACGUUGGACUUCUAAUUCAAAGGUCGUUCGUGUCCCACCUGGGAUG